AGGUUUUAGUAGGUGAAAGAAAUCUAUAAUAAUGAAAAUUACUAUUAGCGUUGUUACUCGACGUUACGGUAAUUAUUACUGUUGUCUGUAAUUAUGAAGUUUAUCCACACAACAGCUGCUCAGUUGAAGAUGACCAAAGAGGAGUUUCAGUAUGUCUAAGUACUUUAAAACCACAGAAAACUACAACCCAGGAGGCCUGGCCCCAUUCCCCGCAGCAGCCAUCUGGGAAAUCCAGACCCCCAAUCUCCGCUGCCAUAGGCCUCAAGGUCCAGUUUCGGUCAGUGGCUUUGCUCCCGUAUCCUUUCCAAUUGGAAACAUGGGGGGGAACAUGCUCCUCUAAGCAAUCCCAGGGGCGCCUCUCUUCCCCGCAGCCGGCCUCCAGCUUCCCUACAUCACUAGCUCUGAGCAGGACGUGCCUUCCUGGUUUUCUACCACUCCUCUGCGUACCCCUAGUCUCAGCCUAAUGCAAGUGGUGCCGGCUGACCCCUUGCAACCCAGAUAGUAGCCCGGAAAUGCACUUCCUGAUCUGUAUUUUAAGGUCUUUUAUAAACAUAACGGAAGCAUAAUAUUGAGUGAGGAACACGUCUAAAAUUAAGGCUUUCCUAUUUAUAGGGCUCUUUAUAACUUUUCCAUCCUAAAACUAAAGCUAUUCAAGGAGGGGAGAGAGGCUCAAGAAGCAAGUGAUAUACAAAUAUAAACUACAUAUGUAAGUAAUUAUGGCUAAUUUGGAUUGUCGUAUGGCAGAAACCAACAGAAAAUGGAAAAACAAUUUUUCCCGAUGAAAAAAUUUUUGAAAGAAAUGAUACUAAAGCUAUUUGAAUGCCUUUUUGUAUGCAAAGACCUAGUUCCACAUUACUCUUUUCAGUUUUUCAGCAGAAUUCGAAAAUUGGCGUGACAAGAGGUUUAGACAUCUUUUAAAAAUUGCGUUCUAGAAACAUCUAUUUAUGUAUGUGUGUACUGCUCACUAGCCUUCAUUUAAUUGCCAUACUUUGAAAAAAAUUUGUUCUGGAAGGAAUUGUUUUAUUUUUUGCUUUGAGACCAAUAUUUUAUGUUUUGUGUUUUUAUUCAUUACGGAAUCUGAGCUGUGUGUCCUCCGGUUGAUACUCGAAGACUCAAAGGGAUCAUUCAGCAGCUGUGGAACUUUUUCUAUUCUGCCAGAAUGUUCAUGGGCUCCUCUGCCUGCAGUUGCAGCAUGAAGACCGCCUGAAGGCAGAGAGCGGCGGAGUCAUCAGGAAGGGGAACCCUCUCCAGGGCCCUAGAGUGGGCUCACACGUGCUGACAAAGCAAGAGACUUGGCUGGAGGGGCGCCCGGGAGGACAGCAGCAGGCUAGGGCAUGGAGGAGAAAUAUACUUCCAUGUUUGCUUACAGGGAACUCUAGAAGGACCCGUAAGAAACAAAACACUACCUGCGGAGGGCAGACGGCCCUGGGCACACAGGCUAAACGACAGGAGGCACAAAUUAA